ACGGGAGGCAGCAGUGGGGAAUAUUGGGCAAUGGGCGCAAGCCUGACCCAGCAACGCCGCGUGAAGGAUGAAGGUCUUCGGAUUGUAAACUUCUUUAAUUGGGGAAGAAAAAAAUGACCUACCCAAAGAAUAAGCCACGGCUAACUACGUGCCAGCAGCCGGUAAUACGUAGGUGGCAAGCGUUAUCCGGAUUUACUGGGUGUAAAGGGCGUGUAGGCGGCUUUGCAAGUCAGAAGUGAAAUUCCCGAGCUCAACUUGGGCGCUGCUUCUGAAACUGCAAAACUUGAGUACUGGAGGGGAAAGCGGAAUUCCUAGUGUAGCGGUAAAAUGCGCAGAUAUUAGGAGGAACACCGGUGGCGAAGGCGGCUUUCUGGACAGUAACUGACGCUGAGGCGCGAAAGCGUGGGGAGCAAACAGGAUUAGAUACCCUGGUA
rnacentral:rRNA from 1 species